AUGUUGACAAGUAUUGAAGAAAUUGAGGGGGAUAAGAAUCCCAAGCUUGCGGAAGCCAUGGAAAUGAAAAAGGUUGUGGAUAUGGCAGAAGAAAUUAAAAAAAACCAUCAAUGGCUCGCUCUGUUGAAGAGGAAUCGUGUCUCACCAAAGGAGAGAAAAGGAAUUUUGUUUGUAUUGAAGAAGUGUUGUUGUUUUUGGUUUUGA